CACACACGUAUAUAAGGUUUUGAUUGCGAAAUGUCCAUUUAAAAAUAUAAAUCAUGAGGAGGAGCACAAGCUACAUUGUCUCCAUGAAAGCAUCCUAAAGUGCACGGAAUAAACAAACGAGGACUAAAGCGGGUGGAGUCAGAUGAUAGCGAUUCACCCUGGAAGGGCAAGGGCAGUGCUGUCAUGAAAGGAACUAAUGAAGCCACAGUCCUGGCAUCGUUCCUUGCUCUUCUGUAGAGGUCAGUCUGUCUGUGCUGAACUGGCUAAAGAUGUGGCAGGCAAAGGUGUCUCUUCACCAUAGGGGCAGACUGUCUUCGGAAAGUGUAAAACUCUCUAUUGAAAGGAAGUGUUCUUGACCGGUUGCUUUGAGACAUUAAAUCCCUCUGGCAAGGAGAUGUAUGCACGCUUGAGUGUUGGUCUCUCUUUGACACUUCUAAAGUAGUCCCAAUUUGUCCUCAUUUUUAGAGUUCUAUAUUCUUGGGAGUUGGAGAUACUGGCCCGAAAGUGACUAUGACUUGAAAGGUAUCAUGAUGACAUAAAUCAGAAAUAGAUUAUCAUCAUCACACGUGAGUUACGUUGUGUUUAGCUCUGUCUCUAGGAAGUGUUUGUUCUGAGUCCCAUGGCUAAGAUUACAGGGUGUCUCUAGAGUCCAGAAAUGAAAAGUUUGUCAUACUGUUUCAGUAACACUUCAGCUCUUGUCUGAGUACAACUUAUUAAUUCCAAGUGGCAGAAAGUAGGGAUCGGAAAGAGCCCAGGGAUUUGGCCUGUUUGGUUCUCGUGUCGACAGCGAUACUGACAGGUGUUAUCUACUUUUCUAUACUGGUCAAGUGUGUUUGGUUCUGAGCAGUGGUCCGUGAGUGUGCGAUAUGAUGGGCCUAAUGCAGCAGCGCCCAGCAGCUCACAACUGACAGUUCCUGAGAGUCACAACUGUUAGCACGUUGCCAUGGUGAUGCCACUUGCAUUGUACAAACUUUCAGUUCUUCGGGUAACCUCAUUCUAAUUGCGUUUUAUAAAAAGCCGAGGAUACCAACACUCAUGUAAACAAAGCAGUUUGACCCAGUGUGGACAGCUUGACAGUGGUUAAGCCGGAUCUAGACUCUAAAGUUUCCCCCCAGAUGUCUUGUUUUAAUCUUAAGACUCAGAAAAGGAAGAACAAUUUCAAGGUGGUGCUGUAUCCCUCUCACUUGUUUCAAAAAAAAAUCCCUUGAAAGUCAAAAUAAUCAUCUCAUCUUACCAAAUCCGUCUCAUACUUGCAUCCAAUAUAAAAACAUGAUUUAUUUAUACAUUAAUUAAACCGUCUUUUGCAUUCAUGACUACCACAGAGAAGAAUCAUAGAUACGAAGGAAAUUCUUUAUUUAAAUAUGCCUUUCUUGGUGAGCAGGUAGAUAAAGAAUAAAAGAGAAAUAAAAAUGAAUCCCUAAUCUUCACAGUAACUGUUUCCAUGAAAGCCCACCACCAAGCAGGAAAUGGCACAAAGAAAGCUCUCGGUGUUGAUGUCAGAGGAGCUGGCCUUACACUUGCGGGGAGCUGACAUUAUUUUUAAAAGUAACAGAGCAUUUGGUUACAGUACAGAGUCAUAAAAACUCUCUUCUUUUUGUGAGAAUUAGAUAGGAUCAGACUCUCUUAAAAGAUUUAUAUGAAAAUAAGUCACAUAUGAGUAGUAAAUACUUUCUACUAAACGUAGAUGAAGAUGAGCCUUUAAGAAAAAUCCAACAAGCUUCUGUAAAUUUGUUUUCAUAGUUCUUGCUGUACUUGUAAGGAGGUAAAUGAGUCAUAAACAAAAUAAACGUAACAAGGAAGAUUACUUGGUUUACAGAAAAAUGUAAUGAAUAAAUUAAACUCUAAAUUAGUUCAGACCUAAUAAUCCAAUGUCUUCCUCCCAGGCUCGGCUGCCUGGUAACAUUUUCUGCCUAUUUGAGUUGGCGAUGUCUUGAUGUUGUUUCUUGGGAAUAAUCAGAUUUACAAAAGGAACAGAGGUUAGCCAAGAUUUAUGUCUUGGUGGAGAUAUACACAUAUAUACAAACCAUUAGAAUUAUGCAUUGCUAUAAACAAUCUUAAAAUGUUAGAUACAUAAAAAUUGGCCAUUUAAUGCAUGUAUUCAUCCUCCUCAAGAUCACGUGUAGGCUUAUAUCUCACACUAAAACAGUCAUAAAUAACACAGCAGUUAAGUCAGCUUGGUAUUAAAAGCAGGAUUUUGUAAUAUCUUUUACACACCCAGGUCAUUCAGUCUUAGAGCUAAAAAUGAAAAAGUCCUGCAGUUCCCCCAUCCCCGCCCCAGUCUCUAGCAGCCCCAAAACGCUUCUAGUUGUUCUGUGGGACUUUUUUUUCUUUUCAUAAAAAUUAUUCUGUCGCACACUGUGCCUGUAUCUGUCACUUCAACUGAAUUGCAUGUGAAUUAUACCUUGAAUAGAUUUCCCCACACUGGAGAAACGAACGCGGUCGUUCCUCUUCUGAAUAUUUUAGACUUGUGUGAGUUCUCCCAUAUUUUUGUUUUUGUGCAAGGCCGCUAGCAAGGAGGCCUGGAAUCUUGAAUGCUGACAGCCUCCAUUAGCGUUAAUGCGGGUCUCUUAUCUCCCAGGCUCUCCUGCGCUCCCCCCUCGCUCGCUCUUGUCUGAUGGUUCACUGACACCGUUGACAAGGCUGACACCACCAAUCAGCUUCGGCUCAGCAAGGUCACUGUUCAGACUUGACUCGUGAUUGGCUGCUGCGCUUCAGCGUGUUAUUACUGUCUGAUUUGAUCGGAGGCAGGGGGUGGUCUCCAAUCAAACAGAGAAAAGGUCCUAGAGAAGGUCUCUAGUCAACCUGGAAUGAAAUUUUGACAUGAGCAAUUUACGGAUUUAGUAAUUUCUCUUCUGUAUGAAAAGUUGCUUUGGAUUUAACCUGGUUUUCCAGCUGCCAGGUUGACUGGCUAUGGAGUUUUUCUGAGAGACUGUUACUUUGGCUAUGUGAGUUGUUGUCAGGUUGUUUGAUGUUUCUUAGGUAGUUACCUCCUCUUUUUAUGUAUAUAUAUAUAAAAUGGAAUACUGUUCCCUUCCUUCUGGGAAGGAGGAAAAGUUUAUGGAAAGUAUGUGUGUAAAGCUCUGGCACGCAGGUAAGCAUGAUUGCUGUACCCACCAUCAUCAUCACCAUUAUCAUCUCAGGAGCAGCAUUCUUGGCCAUGUAUCUUAUAUACCAAUCAUGCUUUUUAUAAAAGAUUUUUAUCUAUUUUACAUAUAUAAUUAAGUAGAAGUGUCACACACAUGCACA
rnacentral:sRNA from 1 species